GCCCCAGUGGCGCAAUUGGUUAGCGCACGGUACUUAUAAUGCCGCCGGGGUUGUGAGUUCGAGCCUCACCUGGGGCA